GCGGUGGUAGCUUAGCCCGGUUUAAAGCGCCUCCCUGUCACGGAGGAGAUCGAGGGUUCGAAUCCCUUCCACCGCGCAA
rnacentral:tRNA from 1 species